rnacentral:rRNA from 1 species
GUAGGUGGCAAGCGUUGUCCGGAAUUAUUGGGCGUAAAGCGCGCGCAGGCGGUUCUUUAAGUCUGAUGUGAAAGCCCACGGCUCAACCGUGGAGGGUCAUUGGAAACUGGAGAACUUGAGUACAGAAGAGGAAAGCGGAAUUCCACGUGUAGCGGUGAAAUGCGUAGAGAUGUGGAGGAACACCAGUGGCGAAGGCGGCUUCCUGGUCUGUAACUGACGCUGAGGCGCGAAAGCGUGGGGAGCAAACAGGGAUUAGAUACCCUGGUAGUCCACGCCGUAAACGAUGAGUGCUAAGUGUUAGGGGGUUUCCGCCCCCUUAGUGCUGCAGCUAACGCAUUAAGCACUCCGCCUGGGGAUACGGCCGCAAGGCUG